ACUCCUGCGGGAGGCAGCAGUGGGGAAUAUUGGACAAUGGGCGCAAGCCUGAUCCAGCCAUGCCGCGUGAGUGAUGAAGGCCCUAGGGUUGUAAAGCUCUUUCACCGGUGAAGAUAAUGACGGUAACCGGAGAAGAAGCCCCGGCUAACUUCGUGCCAGCAGCCGCGGUAAUACGAAGGGGGCUAGCGUUGUUCGGAUUUACUGGGCGUAAAGCGCACGUAGGCGGACUAUUAAGUCAGGGGUGAAAUCCCGGGGCUCAACCCCGGAACUGCCUUUGAUACUGGUAGUCUUGAGUUCGAGAGAGGUGAGUGGAAUUCCGAGUGUAGAGGUGAAAUUCGUAGAUAUUCGGAGGAACACCAGUGGCGAAGGCGGCUCACUGGCUCGAUACUGACGCUGAGGUGCGAAAGCGUGGGGAGCAAACAGGAUUAGAUACCCCAGUAGUCCCA
rnacentral:rRNA from 1 species